rnacentral:rRNA from 1 species
GACGAACGCUGGCGGCGUGCUUAACACAUGCAAGUCGAACGGAGAGGCCCUGCUUUUGUGGGGUGCUCGAGUGGCGAACGGGUGAGUAACACGUGAGUAACCUGCCCUUGACUUUGGGAUAACUUCAGGAAACUGGGGCUAAUACCGGAUAGGAGCUCCUGCUGCAUGGUGGGGGUUGGAAAGUUUCGGCGGUUGGGGAUGGACUCGCGGCUUAUCAGCUUGUUGGUGGGGUAGUGGCUUACCAAGGCUUUGACGGGUAGCCGGCCUGAGAGGGUGACCGGCCACAUUGGGACUGAGGUACGGCCCAGACUCCUACGGGAGGCAGCAGUGGGGAAUAUUGCACAAUGGGCGGAAGCCUGAUGCAGCAACGCCGCGUGCGGGAUGACGGCCUUCGGGUUGUAAACCGCUUUCGCCUGUGACGAAGCGUGAGUGACGGUAAUGGGUAAAGAAGCACCGGCUAACUACGUG